GAUAAUGGAGGACAUCACAUCACAGUUUCAGUGCUGUAUGAGGAUGACCCCUGCCGUGAUCUCAGAAACAGCCCCUCAUCUUCGCCUCUGCCUCAGUCCCCAGCAUCACUGGCUGAGCCGUCCACAUCAGCUGGUGGAGAAGGACAGCUUCCUAGCCCAGCCCCCUCAGUGCCGUCACAGCCAUCUGACUCUGGAGACAGUCUCUCUGUUGAGGCUCAGGGAGUAGUCAUUGGACCUGAUAGCAUUGCUGGGUGGGACAAGUUCCAGGAUCUGGCUGCUUAUUUGGUAGGUCUUCGUGAGGCUCCUUACCUCACUGACCUGCAGGUGACAGAGGCCAUCCAGCUGUGGACAGCUCUCCUGGAUGUUGAUAAACAGCGCAUCAACUACCAGCCUCGACAUCAGCCUCAGCUGACACAUGGGCGCUUUAAGGCAUCCAGCUUUUUGAGCUAAACCAGAAGACGCUCAUUCAGUGGUUUCAACGGAGGCAAAAGGAUCAGGAAAUGAGUGUACUCACUCAGGGACUGACUCCACUUGAUCCAAUUGCUUUGGCAGAUACGCAGCUUCCUUUGCCGAGGGAAAAAUUGGACGAGGCACCAUCAACAUCAGGCCCCAAACACCAGUUUGUCUUUCCUCCAAAUAAAGAAGGACAGGCACCUCUUCUUUGACCUGGUCGAAAGUCUGCUUCUGCAACCACCACAGUUUGCUCCUUCCUGCCAGAUGCCACCACGGUGUGCUCCUUCCCACCGGCCCCCACGACGGUAUGCCCCAUCGCGCCAACCCCCACCACA